ensembl:lncRNA
GUGCUGCAGGGUAAAUUAACACCACGCCCACUGACAAGGCAUAAUUUAAGAUCAAUGUAACGCUACACCCACAACAGUUAAAGAAGCUAACAUGUGACGUCAUUGAACAACAUCCCACAAUCCAUUGCGAAACUCCAGAUUCCAACUAACCAGAGAACCGUGAGCCUCACUCACUCACUCGCGGGAUUUGUCUAGUUCCUCACUAUAUGUAGCGGCAUGACGAACACAGAUGAAGGAUGAUUUCGCAUGUUCCACUUACUGCAAUGCUGGAACAGGACUGUGUGACCCCCUAACUAAUAACAGGGACAGGUGUCUGGUGUUGAAAAGGCUGUUACUUGGACUUUCUGAAGUCAACAGAUAAGUAGUAUGAAAGGGCUGCUACACUGCAAAGACAUCUGCGAUGAGACUUCUGAAUUGUACAAUUUUUAAUAAACUUUCGAGUACUCAUUUGUUUUUUUGUCCUUUCUGUUUUGGUUGAUUUGUCAGCAUAUCCAUUGAACAUUCUGAAUUGUUUCCUUUGGCUUACAGCCUAUGGAUUUAAUUAAACACUCUAAACUGCAUGUGGCUCUAAAACCAAUCAAAGCAUAUUUCAUGAAAUGGUACUGUGUUGGUCUUCUACAUGAUAAAUUACAUUACAAUUAGAGACAUUUUCCCCAUGUAAGGUGUUCCCUUUGUGUCUAAAAAUUAGUGUAGUAGGCUAUGCAGACUUCUUACAACGCGGCCCCAAACUGAAAAAAAAGAAGGGCUACCCUGAAGUUCAAGCGCGACUGGUUUCCACCAAGUAGCAGUGGAAAGCAGAGACGGUAAAUGGUUAAAUCAGAAGCUUCCACAACUUCAAAGUCUGUUGUGCCGUUUUAGUUAUGUUAUGCUCUUGUAAGGGCAAAUGUUACACCCAGGAUGCUGCGCUCUUCUAGUGAGCGUCGUUUGGCACUGCCGUCUGUGCAAGUACGGCAGUCCAGACUAUUCUCAUUUGUAGUUCCACGUUGGUGGAAUGAACUACCCAGCACUACCAGAGCAGGGGCAUCCCUCUCUACCUUUAAGAAGCUUUUGAAGACCCAACUCUUCAGAGAGCACUUCCGGUCCUAACUGGCACUUCGACUAGUGCGUAACUUGCAAUUACAGCAGUUACAUUUCUGCACUUCUUUUUUCUCUUUAUUUCAUUUUGUUAUAUUUCUUAUGUAAAGUAGUAUUUAUUUAUUGUUACACCAGCUACCUCGAUUGCGAGUGACACCAGCCACCCCGCACACAGUCUGUUCAGCCUCCUACCCUCUGGAAGAAGGUAUAGGAGCCUCCGUUGCCGCACCACCAGACUCAGAAAUAGCUUUAUACACCAAGCUGUCAGAAAGCUAAAUUCUCUCCCCUCACUCCCCCCAGCCAUAUCCGUCAGUCUGAUACGAGGCUGAAAUCCUCCCCCCCCCCACCCUACAAUAACUCAGGACUCUGCAACAAAACUGUCCCUUGCACUUUUAUCACUUUACCACUUACUGUUAUACUUGCACUACCAAUGUAACAAAUACAUCUCACAGGAUGUCUUUUUGCUGCCUUUUUUUGCACUACCAUAACCUCACUUUAAAGUAAACUUAUGCUGCUGUACAUGUAUCUGUAUGUUUAUAACUAUAUGUAUAUGUAUAUCUAUAUGUCUUGUCUUAUCUGUUGUUGUGCGUGUGCACUUAUAUGUUUCACCGUGGGAGAGUGGGAAACGUUUUUUUCGAUUCCUUUGUAUG